AACACAUACAAAAACAUAUUCAUAACCAAGUGAUGUUGACAAACUUCCAAUAUAUAGUAAUCCAAAAAGUACGUUAGAUAUUAAUAUUUCAAUAAACAGUACAUCAGUAAUGUAGCAAUAAGCAAAUGCUUAUGAUUACUAAACACAUGAAUUACAGUAUUUCCCAUAUUGGACCACCAGUAUUCCUUUUCAGGAGUCAGAAGUACAUUACCUCUCUCUAUAAGAGCUUGUCCUAGCCAUGAAAAAGCUUUUAGGGCAAGUCCAUCUUUCCUCUAUAGGAAGAACAACCAACAUAUUACCUUCAAUGGUUAUUAUGUAAUUAACCCCUGUAAACGAUAGGAGUAUUUAUGCGGAUACCAGGUGGAUAAGGUCUGGAUAUCCUUGCAAGCAUAACCUCUGUAUCAUGACUGAGAGAUAGGGUAUGCGAUGUGAUCCAGUGACCACAGAAAAGCAUAGGUAGACACAUUGCAUCAAAGUGCCUGUUAAUGACCAACUACAUGAGGAGAGGGUCCAUGCUUUGUUAUAAGCAUGUCCAUACACGUAUUACAAUGCCAGGCUUUCAAUUUGUUUCCACAAAGCAAAAUGCAGUUGUGGAUAUAAAC